GAUGAACGCUGGCGGCGUGCCUAAUACAUGCAAGUCGAACGCUGGAGAUCUAGCUUGCUAGAUCGAAGGAGUGGCGAACGGGUGAGUAAUACAUAAGCAACCUACCCACGAAGACUGGGAUAAUCUCUGGAAACGGGGACUAAUACCGGAUAGGUAAUCGGUAGGCAUCUUCUGGUUAUUAAAGGUUAAAAACACUGGUGGAUGGGCUUAUGGCGCAUUAGUUAGUUGGUGAGGUAACGGCCCACCAAGACGAUGAUGCGUAGCCGGCCUGAGAGGGUGACCGGCCACAUUGGGACUGAGACCCGGCCCAGACUCCUACGGGAGGCAGCAGUAGGGAAUUUUCGGCAAUGGGGGCAACCCUGACCGAGCAACGCCGCGUGAGUGAAGACGGCCUUCGGGUUGUAAAGCUCUGUUGUAAGGGAAGAACGGUAGAUAGAGAAUAUCUAAGUGACGGUACCUUACCAGAAAGCCACGGCUAACUACGUG
rnacentral:rRNA from 1 species